rnacentral:rRNA from 1 species
ACGGCUCAGUAACACGUGGCUAAUCUGCCCUUAGGACGAGAACAACCCCGGGAAACUGGGGCUAACUCUUGAUAGGCGAAGAACUCUGGAAUGAGUCUUUACCUAAAAAGAUUCACGUUAUCCUCGUGAACCUGCCUAAGGAUGAGGCCGCGACCGAUCAGGUUGUUGGCGAGGUAAUGGCUCACCAAGCCUUUUACCGGUGCGGGCCGUGGGAGCGGGAGCCCGGAGAUGGGUACUGAGACAAGGACCCAGGCCCUACGGGGCGCAGCAGUCGCGAAACCUUUGCAAUAAGCGAAAGCUUGACAGGGCUAUCCCGAGUGCCAUCCGCUGAGGAAGGCUUUUACCCAGUCUAGAACGCUGGGGGAAUAAGGAGAGGGCAAGUCUGGUGUCAGCCGCCGCGGUAAUACCAGCUCUCCGAGUGGUGUGGAUGUUUAUUGGGCCUAAAGCAUCCGUAGCUGGCUAAGUUAGUCCCUUGUUAAAUCCACCGAAUUAAUCGUUGGAUCGCGGGGGAUACUGCUUGGCUAGGGGACGAGAGAGGCAGACGGUAUUUUCGGGGUAGGGGUGAAAUCCUAUAAUCCCGGGAAGACCACCAGUGGCGAAGGCUGUCUGCUAGAACGCGCCCGACGGUGAGGGAUGAAAGCUGGGGGAGCGAACCGGAUUAGAUACCCGGGUAGUCCCAGCUGUAAACGAUGCAGCUAGGUGUUUGGACGGCCACGUGCCGUUCUAGUGCCGCAGGGAAGCUGUUAAGCCUGCCGCCUGGGGAGUACGAUCGCAAGAUUGAAACUUAAAGGAAUUGGCGGGGGAG